CCUACGGGAGGCUGCAGUGGGGAAUAUUGCACAAUGGGCGCAAGCCUGGUGCAGCCAUGCCGCGUGUGUGAAGAAGGCCUUCGGGUUGUAAAGCACUUUCAGCGGGGAGGAAGGCGUUAAGGUUAAUAACCUUGUCGAAUGACGGUACCCGCAGAAGAAGCACCGGCUAACUCCGUGCCAGCAACCGCGGUAAUACGGAGGGUGCAAGCGUUAAUCGGAAUUACUGGGCGUAAAGCGCACGCAGGCGGUCUGUCAAGUCGGAUGUGAAAUCCCCGGGCUCAACCUGGGAACUGCAUUCGUAACUGGCAGGCUAGAGUCUUGUAGAGGGGGGUAGAAUUCCAGGUGUAGCGGUGAAAUGCGUAGAGAUCUGGAGGAACACCGGUGGCGAAGGCGGCCCCCUGGACAAAGACUGACGCUCAGGUGCGAAAGCGUGGGGAGCAAACAGGAUUAGAUACCCGAGUAGUC
rnacentral:rRNA from 1 species